GCGGUUCACCUCUGCGCGGCGCCGGAUCGAACUGCAAGCUGAAGAGCACAGCUAUUAGUGACCCUGCAAGAGCUCCCGUGACAUUCACGCAAGAACGUGCCCGUUCACAAGACUACAACAGGAAGACAGCACUGUCAUCCUGCUGAGCUGUUCUGAAUUUCAUUUUCAGCCCAUGUACUCAAGCACCCAAUAUGUGCUGAAUCACGGAUCCCACCAGUUUAUAAAGUUCUCUUUCAGUACCUCAUGGGGAACUUCCUGCAAGCGAUCAAGUGCUCUGAUGUGAUCCAGUGUAUCUAUCGAUGGAGAGAGGCCACCGUGUAGACAGAAAAUCUGCAACAGUGAGAUAUAACAAAUGUAAACGACUGGGAAAACCUUCAUCUAUCAGUACCAUUAUAAUUGUUUAGUGUAUUUAGGAAUAAACAUGCAAGAGAUUCCUUUCAAGCUGAGAGCUGAUAGAAUACAGCCUAAACAGCUCCUUUUACAACUAGGAACACUGUCAAAUACCAGCGUACCUGGCCAUCCACCAAGGCAGUUAGAGGCAGGUAAUCAAAAAGGUCUGUGAAGUAUUUCCAAACAUUUGCAUUUCCGUAUUUUCUUAAACAUUCAUCAUAGAAACCAUAUACUUGUGUGAUUUGCCUGCUUUCAUGGUUCCCGCGGAGAAUUGUGAUGCGUUCACGGUAUCGGACCUAGACAGAACACCUCAGUUUAGAAGCAGUAAAUACACGUGUCUUCCCCAAAACCCCACCAAACCAUUUGCACCCCUCACCCCCCAUCAUGUGUCCAUAAAGCAAUGAAAACCAAACCCUUUUCAAGCUGAAAAUUCAAUUAUAAGCUUUGAGAAAAGAAGGGAUAAUUCAUUCAAAUCUUCAGCUGCCAAAUACUUUGGAGAUUAAUUCCAAAUGCUAUUCAUUGUAACUAGUGGACUUCACUACAUCUGUGCAUUAAGAUGAUCUCCCCAAGGGAAUUAUUAAAGAUUCCCACUUAGGCAAGUAAAAAUAAAUACAGCACUAACUGAACCUCUCAGAAGCAUCUUAGAAAACCAAGACAGCCAACAUUUCGGUUUCUGUACAUAACGCCAAAGUAGUGCAAAUCAGAAUAGAUAUUAAGCACAGGCAGGACAGUAAAUAUAUACAUUUUUAUACAGAAUCAUAGAGCUGAGAAGUUACCUUAAGAGCUACAAGCAAUGUGACUGUUUCGACUGAAUAAUAGCCUCUGUCAACAUAGUCCCCCAUAAACAAAUAGUUUGUGUCUGGUGAUUUGCCUCCAAUUCUGAAGAGUUCCAUGAGGUCGUGAAACUGGCCGUGGACAUCCCCGCAGACUGUGACCGGACAUCGCACCUCCUGUACGUUAGACUCCUUCGUCAGGAUUUCUUUAGCCUGGAAAACAACACACACACAUAGAUUGUGAAUGGCUAUGAACAGCCAUUUCAUCCAGUGUGCUCCACCACUCUACCACUUGCUCUCUUCAUGAACUCUUGUCCCUUCCUUCUCUGAAGCACUUGAGAGAAGAGUUUACUUAAAAUGACAUUUUGCUUUACGCAACCCUGCAUUAGCAGCAGCAGUUUGGUUUGGUGGGGUUUUCCCCUCCUUGAGGAAGGUAUUUCAGAAUUAGUUUCCAGCAUAAGACAAACUUCAGACUUUCUACACAAACAGUUCCAUGAAGCCUAAACCACCGAUCAUCACAGCUCCAACUGAAGAAGUCCAUAGGGAUUUGGAAACACUACAUCUAAAGCUCAUGCCAGUCUUAUCUCCAAUUCAAAGCCUGAAUUGGACAUGGCUGAAACCAAGGCUUUCCCUUGGGGAUGUAAGCACAGCACAAGCUCUCUGAGCAAGUUUUGUGUUUGUGUCCUUAAACCAAAGCAGAGAAACAUCUUUGUCAUCACCACUUGUUCCCCACAAAAUUCUGUCUGUAAAAGUUGCAGACAAAGGCAAUUCGUGUGAAGAACAAACUAAAUAUAGCAUCAGAAAGGUAACUCUGAAAUCCUCAGAAUUCCUUCAUCGUACCAUCACGGUGCCAGUUGCUGCAGCUUGUUCUCAGCACAGCCACCAAACACAUGCCACAGUAAUUUUCUAAAUCAAGAGAGUAUUAGAAAUAUAAAUAGUAACACGUUUACAAGCUACAUCUACAAAGAUUUCCAUCCCGUUCGACUGCCAGUGCUCCUGUUCAGACGGGAUCCCUUUUCUGCCUCACUGCCGGAAUGACAAGAGAACACACAAAACCUGUGUUCCAUUUAGAACCCAAGGUGGUGACGAGAUUUGCAGAGACAGCACCAAAUACCACCUGUGCGCACGCCACGCUGGAUCCAAAGUGUUCUGAAGCACACACCAGAUGGAAGAGCAACACCACAUUCAUUUUAGGGUCACUUUUGUUAACUUUCUCAGACCUAACCCGACACCUGAAGCAGAGGACUCAUUUUGGGGGGUUCUGCUAAGUGAAGUAUUCUGAGACAACAGAAAAAAAAUCACCAUAAUCCAAAGAGCAUUACAUUUUAAAAGGUUAGGAAAGACAUCUGAAGUUAAAUUUGAACAGUGUAUUGAAUCCUGGGUAUUGACAUGAGCCAACCCAUUAAGGAACAUGCUGUGUCCAACCUUCCACCCUCUUCACGGAGCCAUUAGCGGGACAGUGGGGACGCUCCCACCCCCAGAAGGGGUCUCACUGCUGCCGCACGCUGCCCAGGAGAACCACCACGGUCACCACUUCAAACAAGGGGAGCACCAGCCACACACAGCUUAAAGAUGGAGGGGCACGAAACUCAGUGUUUCAUUCAACACUGCAAAGAAAUGCAAAAAUGCGAUUGUGGUUUAGCACCCUGCACAAUACAGAGCUUUAGAUAUUACAGCAUGAGCAGCAGAGUUAAAUCACUCUGCAGACGUAUUUACAUCAAAAGUCAAUCUCAUGUGACAGUUUCCACUCAUGCCGUGCCUAGUUCUAAAGAUAGGUCAUUGCUGGCUUGUGGUAGAUGCUAAAAGUGUACAUUUAUUUUAAGAGAUCCUGACUUAAGUUCAUUUUUAUGCAGUGACACUCACCGGAUGUUUUGAAGGUGUUUUAACAGCUUUCGCCUCUUCUAAUAUGCUAUUACAUUCAGAAGCUUUAAGCACCUUAAUUCUCCUUUUGACAGAGAAUGUUGCAGAUGCUGAUGGUGCUUCGACAUGAAAAGCCUCCUCUGUAAUUAGGAUGCUUUCUAUGGCUGUAUUUUCUCAAGGCAGUGGAAGCACUGCACAAGGAAUGCAGCAUUCAUUUUUCAUCAAAGGCUUGCAGCGUUUGUGCUGACUGAGAUUUAACUGGCACCGUCCUCAGCAACGGAGCUGUUGCUUCCUCAUUUUCUGAAACAUUAAAUCACUCAGCUACGCAGACGACCGAACACCGAGGUAAGUCAGACAGCUACCCUGAUGGAAAAAGA